UAGCUGCGUGUGUGUCUGACUAGUUGGGUGUCUCAGUGUAGCUGACUUUUUCUUUUCUCCAUUCUGCUCCCUCCCUAUAACACCCCGAGUCCGUCCCCCCUCACCCCAUCAGUGUUUCUCUCUUUUCGGGUAUCACUUCUCUUUCCUCUGCACUCCGCUGCCUCCUCUCCAGGCAGCGCCCUUGAACCUCUCACUCCCCGCUCCACACACACCCCUCCCCCAGCACAGGAUGGACCCCCUGCCUCUGCUCCUCUACCUGUGCUCAGUGCUGGCACCGAACCAUGGAUUCAGCGUGGACGUGGAGGGACCCAUCACCUUCCAGGAGACAGCAGCGGGGUUUGGGCAGAGCGUGGUGCAGUUCGGGAGUGCCAGCACUGGGGGGCUGAUCGUCGGGGCCCCGCAGCAGAUAGGAGGCGUGAAUGAAACUAGCAAAGUCUACAAGUGCGACCUGGGUUCCAGACGCUGCCAGGAGAUCCCCAUCGAGAGACCCCCCGAUGCCAUGAACAUGUCCCUCGGUUUGUCUCUGGCUUCCCGAGGCUCCCAGUUCCUGGUGUGCGGCCCCACGGUGCACCGGGCCUGCGGGGAGAACAUGUACGUCAACGGCUACUGCUUCCUCCUGGACCAGAGCCUCCAGCAGCUCCAGCGCAUCCCAGACACCCAGCCAGAGUGCCCCAGACGUGCCACUGACAUAGCGCUCCUCGUCGACGGCUCGGGCAGCAUCGCACCUGUGGACUUUGGAAAAAUGAAGACGUUUCUCGCUGAGAUCAUGAAGCGUUUCCGCAGCACAGACACGCAGUUCGCCCUCAUGCAGUACUCCGAUAAAUUUGAAUUGCACUUCGACUUCAUGGAGUACAGGAGAAGUCAUGACCCCGAUCACCUUGUCUGGAGGAUUGAGCAGCUUAAGGGAACGACGUACACGGCCACAGCCAUCCAGAAAGUGGUGUGGGAGCUGUUCACCUCUGAGAGAGGCGCUCGGGAUGAGGCCACCAAGGUUCUCAUUGUGAUCACAGAUGGGAAUAAAUACGGAGACCCGCUUUCUUAUUCAGACGCCAUCCCCGAGGCUGAGAGAGCUGGGAUCAUCCGCUACGCCAUCGGGGUUGGUGAGGCCUUCUCCAGAGUUACUGCCCAACGGGAGCUCCAGGAGAUCGCCUCUGAGCCCACCAAGGAGCACGUCUUCCGGGUGGACAAUUUCGAUGCCCUCCAGGGCAUCCAGAACCAGCUGGAGGAGAAGAUAUUUGGUAUCGAAGGCACUCAGUCCCAGAGCGGCAGCUCCUUCCAGCUGGAGAUGUCCCAGGAAGGAUUCAGCUCCCUGCUGUCCCCUGACGGCCCUGUGCUGGGAGCGGUGGGAGCCUAUGACUGGUCCGGUGGGAUAUACCUGUAUGGGAGUGGCGGGAAGCCGAGCUUCAUCAACGUAUCCAGAACCUCCACUGACAUGAAUGAUGCUUACCUCGGUUAUUCAUCUCAGGUCAUCACAGCCAAUGGGCAGAGCAGCUACGUGGUCGGGGCCCCUCGCUACCAACACGCUGGCAAAGUCAUCCUGUUCUUCCGAGAUACCAAGGGUGGGGAAUGGACACCCACAUCAGAGGUGCUGGGAGAGCAGAUUGGCUCAUAUUUUGGGGGUACACUGUGCGCUGUGGACCUCGACAGAGAUGGGAACACGGACCUGGUUCUAAUCGGAGCCCCCAUGUACCAUACACCUCUGAAUGGGGGGCGUGUCUCUAUCUGCCUGAUUAACUGGCCGGGGAUGACACUGAUCUGCACCAAGACACUGCAGGGGCAGAUGGGGCAGGCGUUCGGACGCUUUGGGGCCAGCAUGUCCGAAAUCGGGGACACCAGCGGAGACGGACAGACGGAUGUGGCCAUCGGGGCCCCCAUGGAGAGCGACAAUAGUGGGGCCUUGUACAUCUUCCAUGGGGAAAAGGGAGGCCUCAAUCCCCAGUAUAGACAGCGCAUCGAGGGGUCACAGUUUCCCAGCAGGCUGCACUACUUUGGCCAGGCCGUCAGUGGCGGGACAGACCUGACGAGGGACGGACUGCCAGACAUCGCGGUGGGGGCACAAGGGCAGGUCCUGCUGCUGAGGUCCCGGCCGGUGCUCAGAGUCGGGGUCUCCAUCAGCUUCCAGCCCCACACGAUCCCAACCUCAGCCUUCAACUGCCAGGGGCAGGAGCAGCUCAACACGGAGGCCAGCAGGGCAGAGGUCUGCUUCACUGUCACUAAGAGCACCAGGGACAGCCUAGGUGACAGGAUCUCCAGCACCAUCCAGUACAGCCUGGCUCUGGACCCCGGGCGGACGAAGAUCCGAGCCGCCUUCAACUCCAUCGGCCCCGUCCUGAGCAGGGAACUGCGGCUCGGCAUUGAGACGAGAUGUGAGAUGUACCGGAUAACGUUUCCUCUCUGCCCAGAGGACACCCUGACCUCCAUAACCCUGCGUCUCAACUACACCCUGACGGGGGAGCCCAUCUCUACCGCUAGCAACCUCAAACCCAUCCUGAGCGAGGACUCCGCGACGGUGUCUGCAGGCUGGCUCCCGUUUCAGAAGGACUGUGGCACAGAUGACCGCUGCGAUGACCAGUUAGAAAUCUCCUUCAAUUUCUCUGGCUUGAGCACCCUGGUGGUGGGCAUCACCCCUGAACUCAACACCACCGUCUCCAUCAAGAACCGCGGGGAGAAUUCCUACAGCACCACGGUGCGGUUCUUCUACCCGGCCGCGCUGUCCUACCGCCGGGUCCUGCUGCUCCAGUCUAACAGGAGGGCCAUGGCCGUUAAGUGCAGCUCGGCCGUGGGCUCCGAGGAACAGACUCAGAGGAACAGCACCUGCCACAUCAACUACCCCAUCUUCCAGAGUGGAGCUGAGGCCGUCUUCGUGGCCACCUUCGACGUCUCCUCUGAGGCCGACCUGGGGGACAGGCUGCAGAUCACGGCCAAGGCCAGCAGUGACAAUGGCGGCCCCAUCACCGAGCGCAUGAAUCACCAGGCGGAGCUGCCGGUCAAGUACGGCAUCUUUGUCAUCCUCACCAGCCUCGAGGAGUCGACCAAGUACGUCAACUUCUCUGUCGAGGACGCUGGGACAAGUGUGCCAGUGACACAUCGGUACGAGGUCAAGAAUCUGCGGCAGCGAAGCGUCCCCAUCUCGGUCACGUUCCAGUUCCCCGUGGAGCUGAGCGGGGUCCGGGUGUGGGAUGCCUCUGAGGUCGUCCCCUCCAAGCCCCAGCUGGCUCAGUGUGUCGGUGAGGCCGAAACACCAGGUUCAAAGGACUUUGUGAAGAAGAUGAGCGAGCGCCCCCUGCUGGACUGCUCUGUGGCCAUCUGUAAGAAGAUCCGGUGCAGCAUCACCUCCCUGGAAAUGCAGCAGCCGCUGGAGUUCAUGAUCAAAGGAAGCGUCAGCUUCCAGUGGGUCUCCCAGACUCAGCAGCAGAAAGUGAGUCUGGUGAGCGAGGCCCGGAUUGAAUACGAGGAGAAGAAAUACACCCAGAAGGAGGGAUUUGUCCAGCGCCAGGUGCAGACGGUGGUGGAGCGCUCCGAGGUCUAUAACUACAUGCCCAUCAUCGUGGGCAGCAGUGUGGGGGGCCUGAUCCUGCUGGCUCUCAUCACCGCAGCCCUCUACAAGUUCGGCUUCUUCAAGCGCCAGUACAAGCAGAUGAUGCAGGACACUGUGGAGGGCGAGGGGGCUGGCCUAACCCAGAGCACCUCCACUGGCAACCCCCCUGCUUCGGAUGUUCCCAAGCAAUAGCCCCCCAUUCGCCAACGCCCCCAGCUUGGCCUCCCUCUGCGCUGCUCCAGAUUCACCCCCGCCCACUUAUGUUACUACCUCCAAGAUGCAGAAAGACCGACCACUGUCCACCCUCCCACCAACAAAAUGCAUCCUUGUGCCAACUAGAGCCAAUCGUUACUCAAAUUAGGCUUGGCCGAAUUCUACUGAUCUUUUUAUAAUUUUGAUGGAGAAUUAUCCAACGUAAUUAUCCUGAAAGCAGCCCGAGCGACACUAGCAUUACCACAAGUUUUAUGCACAUUAAGGUACAAUAUUUGCCCUUUUCCAGUCCUCCAGGAUCUCUCCCAUCCUCCACAAGUUCUCAAAGGUGCAGACGGUGAUGGAGUGUUUCAUGGUCUAUAACUGUCAGCCCAUCAUCCUUGGAGGAAUAGGGAGAGGCCUGUUCCUGCUGGCUCACAUCCUUGUUGCCCUCUCCAAAGCGAGGGGGAUAGGCCUUGGACUUCUGCCUCACACCCAUCGCUGUGGGUUUGGUGCCUGUUGUUGUCAGCGUGCGUGUGCGUUCUCUCCGUAUGCUGUCCCAGUGCCACAGAUAGUUGGCCCAGCAGACCUCGAUAGCGCUACCCAGAAAGACCACAGACGCGGUUUGAUGGUGAAGGCACUUGGCCAGGUUUAUUGUCAAUGAAGCACGAUCCUAGUGCCCCCUAGACUCUACAGGAGCACUAACACACUUACGCCUGUGACAAAGGUGGAUAGAAAGCUGGCUAGAUCGUCGGGCUCAACGGGUAGUGAUCAAUGGCUCCAUGUCUAGUUGGCAGCCGGUAGCAAGUGGAGUGCCCCAAGGGUCAGUCCUGGGGCCAGUUUUGUUCAAUAUCUUCAUUAAUGAUCUGGAGGAUGGUGUGGAUUGCACCCUCAGCAAGUUUGCGGAUGACACUAAACUGGGAGGAGUGGUAGAUACGCUGGAGGGUAGGGAUAGGAUACAGAGGGACCUAGACAAAUUGGAGGAUUGGGCCAAAAGAAAUCCGAUGAGGUUCAACAAGGACAAGUGCAGAGUCCUGCACUUAGGACGGAAGAAUCCCAUGCACCGCUACAGACUAGGGACCGAAUGGCUCGGCAGCAGUUCUGCAGAAAAGGACUUAGGGGUUACAGUGGAUGAGAAGCUGGAUAUGAAUCAACAGUGUGCCCUUGUUGCCAAGAAGGCCAAUGGCAUUUUGGGAUCUAUACGUAGGGGCAAUUGCCAGCAGAUCGAGGGACGUGAUCAUUCCCCUCUAUUCGACAUUGGUGAGGCCUCAUCUGGAAUACUGUGUCCAGUUUUGGGCCCCACACUACAAGAAGGAUGUGGAAAAAUUGGAAAGCGUCCAGCAGAGGGCAACAAAAAUGAUUAGGGAACUGGAACACAUGACUUAUGAGGAGAGGCUGAGGGAACUGGGAUUGUUUAGUCUGCAGAAGAGAAGAAUGAGGGGGGAUUUGAUAGCUGCUUUCAACUACCUGAAAGGGGGUUCCGAAGAGGAUGGAUCUAGACUGUUCUCAGUGGUAGCAGAUGACAGAACGAGGAGUAAUGGUCUCAAGUUGCAGUGGGGGAGGUCUAGGUUGGAUAUUAGGAAAAACUUUUUCACUAGGAGGGUGGUGAAGCACUGGAAUGCGUUACCUAGGGAGGUGGUGGAAUCUCCUUCCUUUGAAGUUUUUAAGGUCAGGCUUGACAAAGCCCUGGCUGGGAUGAUUUACUUGGGGAUUGGUCCUGCUUUGAGCAGGGGGGUGGACUAGAUGACCUCCUGAGGUCCCUUCCAACCCUGAUAUUCCAUGAUUCUGUGAAAGGACUCCGCUCGCUCAGCAGUGGGACUUUCUGCUGCCCCCUCGGACGGACAGGGAUACCAACAAGUUACGUGUCGCACUCCUGUCGGGGUUAGUUACCUACAUCUCGUACCUGCUGGUUCAAACAAAACAUCCCCAUCCAUCACUGUGUCCUCCCAUCCUUGUCUGACUCGGGGUCGGUGCGCUCCUGUACCAUGGCCAAGGAGCACGCUUAUAUUGUACCUCCAGGGUGGGGUGCACCUGUGCCAGCCUUCUGGAAUGUGUUUACGUGACGACUGAUGUUAAGCGCUGAAGGCCGGAGGGGGGUUGCCCCGGUAACACUACCCAGGGCGCUCAGCUGCUCGGUGUUGCUGUCCUUGGAGCUCCGGUGUUAGCGUCACGAGCAGAGAGCGCAGCCCGCUCAUUCACCAGACCUCGAUGUUACUCAUAAGACAGCCCACAGGCUCGGCUCAGUGACAAAGGCACUCGGACAGGUUUAUGGCCCCCUAGGGACAGCCCCAGUGCCCUGGCUCGGCGGGAACAGGUACGCUAACACGAGUGCCCAUUGGCAAGGAGCAGAUCAGUCAGCAGUAGGAGGCUCAGCUGUCCCCUCGGCCGCACGGAGGGUUUAGGGGAGGUACCUGAUAUUCGUAGACUGGGGACAGACAACUUGUGUAUCACCUUACCUGAAUCUGCUUGUUACCUCCUCUUGGACCUGGCUCCGGACUGCGUGUGUGCUCUCUGGGUGUGCUGUCCCAGCUCUGCGCAGGGAACUGGCUCAGCAGACCUCAACAGACCUGCCCAGAAAGACCACAGACUCGGUUUGGUGGCAAAGGCGCUCGGCCAGGUUUAUUGUCAACGAAGCACGGUCCAAGUGCCCGGGCUCAAUGGCAACAGAAGCACAAACACACGUAUGGCCCUCACAAUGGACUCAGAUCAUUCAGCAACAGGACUUUCCUCUCCCCCGUCGGCCGGACAAAGGGUUAAGGCGAGGUACCCCAACAUUUAUAGACAGAGACAAACAAUCGGCAAUAAACAAUUUAUGUACCACCUGACAUGUUUCAUGACAAGGCUGUUACCUCCCCUUGUACCUUUCUCCUGAUAUUUCAGACAAAACAACCCUCUUCACCACUUCUGUCUUUGUACUUUACUCCUGAUGUUUCAGACAAUUCAUCACUUCUGUCACAUCAUCUUAUCUUGUGCUAGAGGAUCUUAAGUGCUGGACCUAUGACUAGAAGAUCAUCGUCCGGAACCUGUUUGACCGGUUGACCGAGAUUUGUGGUAAUCCUUGAACUCAGUCUGCUAGUUGGAUUGCACGUUUCUCCAACCAGCAGACCAGUUCCAGCUGGGUAGUUACAGGGGACUCAUCGGGAACGCUGAUCCAUUGUCCUCCAAAAUGAUUCAAUUUCCUGUAGAUCUUCAUGCCUUGAACAUCAUUGGUAAGAACGCUGUGGCUUGGCUUGACCAGACUGCAUAUGCCAAAUAAAAAUAAUCUUGUGGUA